rnacentral:rRNA from 1 species
GAUUCCCCUAGUAACUGCGAGUGAAGCGGGAAGAGCUCAAAUUUGAAAUCUGGCAGUCUCUUUUUUCUUCUUUGGCUGUCCGAGUUGUAAUCUAGAGAAGUGCUUACCUGCGCUGGACCAUGUAUAAGUCUCCUGGAAUGGAGCGUCGCAGAGGGUGAGAAUCCCGUCUUUGACAUGGACUGCCAGUGUGUUGUGGUGUGCUCUCAAAGAGUCGAGUUGUUUGGGAAUGCAGCUCUAAAUGGGUGGUAAACUCCAUCUAAAGCUAAAUAUUGGCGAGAGACCGAUAGUGAACAAGUACCGUGAGGGAAAGAUGAAAAGGACUUUGGAAAGAGAGUUAAACAGUAUGUGAAAUUGUUGAAAGGGAAACGCUUGAAGUCAGUUAUGUUGGCUAGGGAUCAACCUAGCUACUUUGCUGGGUGAAUUUCCUAGUCUUACAGGCCAACAUCAGUCUUGACUGCUGGAAAAGAGCAGAGGGAAUGUGGCACCUUCGGGUGUGUUAUAGCCCUUUGUCAUAUGUGGCAGUCGGGACUGAGGGAUGCAGCAUGCCGCGAGGCUGGGUUUCUGACCACGUUCAUGCUUAGGAUGUUGGCUUUUAAUGGCUUCAAUCGACCCGUCUUGAAACACGGACCAAGGAGUCUAACAUGCCUGCGAGUGUUUGGGUGGGGAAAACCCUUGUGCACAAUGAAAGUGAAAGUUGAGAUCCCUGUCAUGGGGAGCAUCGACGCCCGGACUUGAGCUUUUAGCGACGGAUCCGCGGUAGAGCAUGCAUGUUGGGACCCGAAAGAUGGUGAACUAUGCCUGAAUAGGGCAAAGCCAGAGGAAACUCUGGUGGAGGCUCGUAGCGAUUCUGACGUGCAAAUCGAUCGUCAAAUUUGGGUAUAG